CAAAAGGGCUUGUGUGUGACCUGGCACACGUAGGGCAUCUCCAUUGCUCUACGUGCAGAAUAGACAGCAAGAGAUUUCUGAAUCAUAAUUUAGUUAACUGGACUGCCACUGAUCAUUGGUCCCGGUGCCCAA
ensembl:snRNA